AUGAUCUUGCGUGUGCGUAGGAAAUUUUUUGAAAUUACUACGUUCCCCAAGAGAAGGCCUAUGGGUCGUUAACUUCUUUUCUCGGAGAAGAAAUAAUAACGGUAUCUGAGGAAUAAGCAUCGGCUAACUCUAUGCCAGCAGCCGCGGUAAGACAGAGGAUGCAAGCGUUAUCCGGAAUGAUUGGGCGUAAAGCGUCUAUAGGUGGAUUUUCAAGUCCUCCAUCAAAUCCCAGGGCUCAACCCUGGACAGGCGGUGGAAACUACCAAGCUGGAGUACGGUAGGGGCAUAGAGAAUUUCCGGUGGAGCGGUGAAAUGCAUUGAGAUCGAGAAGAACACUAUAGGAUCGAAAGUAUGUCUAGAGGGGGUGAUUAGACUACUUGACCAAUUAAAAAUCUAUCCUUUUCCCAAUUUUAGUCUUU
rnacentral:ncRNA from 1 species